rnacentral:rRNA from 1 species
CGGCAACAGCUCAAAUUUGAAAUCUGGCUCUUUCAGGGUCCGAGUUGUAAUUUGUAGAAGAUGCUUUGGGUGUGGCUCCGGUCUAAGUUCCUUGGAACAGGACGUCAUAGAGGGUGAGAGCCCCGUACG